rnacentral:tRNA from 1 species
GUGUAGCUCAGUAUACAGCGCUUGUCUACAAUAUAAGAGGUCCUGGGUUUGAUUCCCAGCAC